AAAUUGAAGAGUUUGAUCAUGGCUCAGAUUGAACGCUGGCGGCAGGCCUAACACAUGCAAGUCGAGCGGCAGCGGGAAGUAGCUUGCUACUUUGCCGGCGAGCGGCGGACGGGUGAGUAAUGUCUGGGAAACUGCCUGAUGGAGGGGGAUAACUACUGGAAACGGUAGCUAAUACCGCAUAACGUCGCAAGACCAAAGAGGGGGACCUUCGGGCCUCUUGCCAUCAGAUGUGCCCAGAUGGGAUUAGCUAGUAGGUGGGGUAAUGGCUCACCUAGGCGACGAUCCCUAGCUGGUCUGAGAGGAUGACCAGCCACACUGGAACUGAGACACGGUCCAGACUCCUACGGGAGGCAGCAGUGGGGAAUAUUGCACAAUGGGCGCAAGCCUGAUGCAGCCAUGCCGCGUGUAUGAAGAAGGCCUUCGGGUUGUAAAGUACUUUCAGCGGGGAGGAAGGUG
rnacentral:rRNA from 1 species